UACGGAGGGUGCGAGCGUUGUCCGGAAUCACUGGGCGUAAAGGGCGCGUAGGCGGCAGGCCAAGCGUGCGGUGAAAGUCCGGGGCUCAACCCCGGAUCUGCCGUGCGGACUGGUUUGCCAGAGCACUGUAGAGGCGAGUGGAAUUCCGGGUGUAGCGGUGGAAUGCGUAGAGAUCCGGAAGAACACCGGCGGCGAAGGCGGCUCGCUGGGCAGUGGCUGACGCUGAGGCGCGACAGCGUGGGGAGCAAACAGG
rnacentral:rRNA from 1 species